rnacentral:snRNA from 1 species
GUUGGCUAAGUCCGUUCGG